rnacentral:rRNA from 1 species
GAUGAACGCUGGCGGCGUGCCUAAUACAUGCAAGUCGAGCGAACAGACGAGGAGCUUGCUCCUCUGACGUUAGCGGCGGACGGGUGAGUAACACGUGGAUAACCUACCUAUAAGACUGGGAUAACUUCGGGAAACCGGAGCUAAUACCGGAUAAUAUAUUGAACCGCAUGGUUCAAUAGUGAAAGACGGUUUUGCUGUCACUUAUAGAUGGAUCCGCGCCGCAUUAGCUAGUUGGUAAGGUAACGGCUUACCAAGGCAACGAUGCGUAGCCGACCUGAGAGGGGGAUCGGCCACCCUGGAACUGAGACACGGUCCAGACUCCUACGGGAGGCAGCAGUAGGGAAUCUUCCGCAAUGGGCGAAAGCCUGACGGAGCCACGCCGCGUGAGUGAUGAAGGUCUUCGGAUCGUAAAACUCUGUUAUUAGGGAAGAACAAAUGUGUAAGUAACUAUGCACGUCUUGACGGUACCUAAUCAGAAAGCCACGGCUAACUACGUG